UACGGGGGGAGCAAGCGUUGUUCGGAUUUACUGGGCGUAAAGGGCGCGUAGGCGGUCGUGACAAGUCACUUGUGAAAUCUCCGGGCUUAACUCGGAACGGUCAAGUGAUACUGUCGGACUAGAGUACAGAAGGGGCAACUGGAAUUCUCGGUGUAGCGGUGAAAUGCGUAGAUAUCAGGAGGAACACCAAUGGCGAAGGCAGCUCGCUGGGACGGUACUGACGCUGAGGCGCGAAAGCGUGGGGAGCAAACAGG
rnacentral:rRNA from 1 species